UCGCUCGAUACUCUCUCUCCUCUCGCGAGAGCCCUUUGCUAGAGUUUCGCCCGCCGCACCUCCGCCACCUCUGGCCGAUUUACGCCAUUAUCGCGAGGAGAUGCUCCUGCCACUUCAGAGAAUGACCCUGCUUCUUCCGGCAAGCAGCGAGCAGAUGAAACCCCUCUGCUCGUUCUCAGAGAACCCGCACUCUGCUCCCUCUGCUCAUCCCUUUCCUCUGCCGGCAGCCACUUCUCCCGUAAGUGAGAGGCCCACCGCCGGCCAUGGUGGUGGCCGUUCCCCUUUCGAGUAGGGUCUCUGCUCAAGCAUAAAAAAAAAGGGAAAAACAGUAGAGGUAAACUCCCUCUCUCAUAAUGUGCGUGCUACCAAGCCAGACCCUCGAUGAGGGUUCUAAUAUCCUUUUUUUUUUUUUUGAGUCUGCUACCAGAAUUCUGGACAGGGGUGUUUCUUCCCUUCGUCGAUGUUCUUUUCAAGAUCUGAAAUUUAUGUACCUCUGUCGAAGGUUCUUACAGAACAAUCAGGACCUGUGACUAGCGGGUGAAAAAACUUUGUUUCAACAGUUAAUCACGCUCUGGUCAAGAGGACGACUCUGUUCUCUGUCUCUCGCAGGGAUACAAAAGAACAACUAUGGAACAGAUCGCUAUAUAGUAUCUUGAAUCAAUCAGGAAACUAGCAUGCUUUAUGCAUUCAUGUCUAAUUUUCAGUCGCUUUGAUAUUCAUGAAAGAUGUUCAAAAACAGCAUGAUAUGUGCAUCACAUGCACCAUAGGGUUCGGAUUUCACUUACAGGAAAUUCUACAAACAAGGCUCUGAUACCAAUGUUGGCACUUUGAUGUUCAGCCCAAGAUCUCUAUGCACAAGUUUUUACUCAACUUAAUCCUGCACAACAACAAAAAUGGGAGAGAGGAAAAAAAGGAAACAAGAACAGAUAUUUUCAUGGGUUUGCUUCUAGGAGGCGUAGACUUGGUUAAUCAUGUUGAUCAACCCUAUGCAGAGGAUAAGUUGGGCUUUUAUAAACCGCCUCCUAGGUUUUCCCAAUGCCCAGCAACGGAUGGUUCCAGCCAAAGAGAUUAAUUUUCUCAAUUAAUGGGCAGUUUUUUUAUUUAAUCAUGUAACUGUAAUAGGGCCAUCUUGCAAUUACAAGAUGUAGAGAUAGGGCUCAGACACAUAUGUGGGUUUUGCAUGUGUCCACCCCCAUGGAUGGAUAGAGGGUCUUCAAAUUCAUGCAUCUUUCAAGUACCUGCCCAUGGAAACCAGCGGACGCACACGUGACAUGAUUCGAAUGAGUUGCAGAUUGUGUUAUCCCUCAUCAGUCUUCAAGUUGCUACUGCCUACUGCUACUAAGCUUUUUUGAUACGGGUCAACCUAGACCUCCUCCUAGAAGCAUGUUUGAGCACGGCGAGAGCAGUCAAGCCAGGGCUGAUAAGCUUGAAUUACAAGUCAAGCAAGGCACUACGGCAGUUAGUGAGAAUAAACCUGGACUUAGCGCACAAACAGUGGGUGGCGAGGCGGGAGAUGCAAAAGCUCUAGGUCCGGAUACACCAAGAGAAGACCAUAACUUUGGAGCAGAUCCUACUACAGAAGGCCAAAUUGAAAGUGUUACCUCCGGUUUAGGCCUAGUCCAACCUAGUGUCGGUCAAGAUCCAAGUCUUUAGAGGCAGUCUAAGGCGAGCAUAGGUAGGAGUCUCGGCUGGCCUUGACUUAGCCGAAGUAGGCCGAGCUGGUUCAUGGGAAAUCCAAAGUCUACACGGCAACCCAGACAAGUCCCCCACAUUGCGCCUCACAAGCGCAAGGGUUUAUUCCAUUAGAAGGGGCAUCACGCCUAAUUUUACAUAUUCAUUUGCUUGUGCAUUUUAAUUCAAGUUGUGUGGACCAAGAAAGAUUGCAUCUCGAGUCAUUUGCUUUGAGUAGUAGUGAACCGGUUCGAUCCAUCUGUGAACCGAGUCACUUAGGAGAUUAUUUAAACAUUGUGUAAUUUGAAUUCCGCAUGCAAUUCGAGAAAUAAGAUUUCAUUUGAGUCCUA